GGAGCGGGCCUCGCGGGGCGCCGCCCGCCUCACCUUACCUGGCGCCUCCUCCCGCCCAGGCGCCCGGCCCCGCAACGCGAAAUAAAUGGGCCCAGACCCCCACUCCACCCGUCCCCACCCCCGCGCCCCAGCCCUGGCAGCCCGGGACGCGAGGGGUACUGGGCGGUAGGCCCGCUCUCACCUUCCGCGCUCGCUCAGCUCCUCUCGGCUCCUCCUCCUCCUCCCGGCGGUGGGUGCCGCCUAGCCGGGAGUGAGGGCGCGAGUGUGCGCGAGCUACCGCUUCACUUUCUCCCUCCUGCCGCCGCCGCCGCGCUGCCCGUGGCGGGGCUCCCCUCAGGACAGGGGAACUGCGAGGGAAGGGAUGAUGGGGGGGCGGGAGGGAGCGAGGCGACGCGGGCGGGGGGGGAAGGGGGGACUGAGGGGCGAGGUGCGAAGGGCUCAGAUGGCCUCUGAGGCAGGAGGUGGUAACUGGAUGCGGAGACCAGGUUCCUCGAGGGGGCUCACGAAAGCGCGGGGCUCCGUGGAAAAGGGAAUGAGAGUCCAAGGGGGAAGGCGUCUGUGGGGGAGGACUGCAGAGCCUGUGAGGGAAGCGCGAUGGGCGAGCGAGGGGGCGGGAGCGUGUGGGGGAAGCCGUGAGGGGGCGUCUACUGUGCAGCCACCACCUUCGGCUCCGGCUGCAGCCGCGGGAGGGCAGCCUCCCCCGCCCACAGCCGCGCUAUUGUACGCCGCCCGGCAGGCCUGACCGCCUAGUUCACUGGCUCCCCUACUCCUCCUCCUCCCGCCUCCUCCUCCCCUCUGCCCUUUCCCCUUCUCCCCCUCCCCCUCCCCCACUCCCCCUCCCCGGCGCGGCGGCGGCGGCUGCGGCUCCGGUGGAGCCGUGCCCGCCCCGCCUCCCGCAGGUGAGAGGGGGCGGGGAGGGCCUGACCGACCCGUGGGAGCGAGGCCAAACCCUGGCCCGCAUGAGGGCGAACGCCUGGGAUUACGUCAUCGGCGCGUGACGCCAGAGGCUGGGGAAUCACCCGCUUGCUGCGUGACGUCAUCGCGUCGCGUCACUGUUCUCGGUCCGCUGUCCGUGGCGGGUUGUUUCCGUGCAGCCUUUCUAUCAGACAAUUUUGGGACGAUUUCUGGGAGGGCUACUGUAGUAGUCAGGAUGGAGAAAGACGGCUAACUUCCGGCGCUGAGGGUCCUUUUCAGGUUAACAAAGCACCACCGCAUCUAUGAGCUCGUUGUCAAGGGCUGAAUUUGAAAACUAUCCGAUGUCGUGUGAUCUCACAGCCAGACAUGUAUUAUGUUUUCUUUCUGUGGGAGAGGGGGCAGGGGUGGGAGGAAGACAAAGAAAUUAUAACGGAGAUGUUUGAACUAAUGUGAACUGACAUACGAAAAGAAUGGGCUUCCUUUCACGUUUUUUCCCCUACCGUGGAGGGUACUUUCGACCCAAAGCUUUCUUUCUCCUGAGCUCAGAUUGUGUAUUUCCCAAUACCUCCCGAGCAGCAUUACCUGCAUACUCUUCGUACCUCAGAUUCAACAUGUGCGAAACUGAGACAGCAUUAGAAAGGCUAAGAGUCCGGAAUCAGGUUGCCUUGCUUGAAAUCCUAGCUAUUCAAAUAUUAGUGAUAGGACCUUGACAUUUCUAAGCCGUAAUUUUUCUGUAAUAAUAAGUAGUACCUUAACUAGGUCUUCCUAAGCCUCAGUUUUACCAUGGUAAUAGUAACAAGCCCUUUAGAAUGUUGGCUAUUAUUAUUAUUUCCCCCCCAAAAUUGCUUCUUACGUUCCUUUCCGUUCUCAAUGAAUGGGCCACCCAUUCAACAAUCCCCUAAGCCAGGAACCUAGACAUACUAAUAGCUCCCCGUUCUUCCUCUCUCAACAUCCAUAUCAAGUUGGACACCAAGUCUUGUAGCUUCUCCUAAAUAUUUUUCAAGUCCUUGCCUGUGUCGUCUUCUACUACCACCACCUGAACAACUGGAGCAACCUUUAGUCUCUUCAAACUCAAUCUAUUUUUCUCACUAGUUACCUGAGUAGCCUUAUAAAAGCACAAAUCUGAUGAUGUCCUCCCGUUUAAACACCGAAAGGAUUUUAUUGCUUUCAGGAUAAAGUUCAAACUCCUGAACUUGGCACUUUAUUACCUGACUGCUUACACUAGCCUUUCUAGCUUUGUCUCACAUCAUUUAUUUUUUGCUCCAAGCACACUGAAAUAUUAACGUUAUUUGAAUACACAUUUCUUCAUGUCUUCAAGCUCUUCCCUACUUAGCUGACUGGCCAACACCUAUUCAUUGUACAAAGCUGAGCUCAAAUGUCAUUCAUAUUCAUAUUCAUAUUCAUUUGACUAAUAUUUCUAAAGUUUCCCUAAGCCUUAACAAAACUGUAAUUCUAUAGUAUUUCUAUGCCUUUUAUGGAAGUAACUGCAUUUGUGUAUCUAAUUUCUUGAGUUCCAAGUCAUAUUCCUUUCCAUAUCCUCAGCACCUAAAACAGUGCUUGACAUAUACCUAAGUAUCAAUAUGUUGUUAAAAUAUAUUUAAUAAGGCCAGGCGCGGUGGCUCACGCCUGUAAUCCCAGCACUUGGGAGGCCAAGGCAGCCAGAUCACCUGAGGUCAGAAGUUUGAGACCAGCCUGGCCAAUAUGGCGAAACCCCAUCUCUACUAAAAUACAAAAAUUAGCCGGGCGUAGUGGCAGGCACCUGUAAUCCCAGCUACUCAGGAGGCUGAGGCAGGAGAAUUGCUUAAACCCAGGAGGCGGUGGUUGUAGGAAGCUGUGAUUGCACCACCACACUCCAGCCUGGGUGACAAGAGCAAAACUCUGUCUCAAAAAAAAUGUAUUUAAUAAAUGUUCCUAUUGUUCUUUCUAUGUGCCAGGUACUGUUCUGAGCACUUUACAAACACUGUCUUUAAACCUCUACCCUCUACGGUAGAUACUGUUGUUAUCCUCACCCAUCUUAUUGAUGCGGGAACUGAGGCACAGAGGGGUUAAGUAACUUAACCCAGGAUCCUAACCCAGUAAAUUGACUCUAAUCUGGAUUGUCUUUUCGUGAUCUCUGCACUAGGCAGAAUAAUGGCUCAUCCAAUGGAAUGUUCACAUUCCAAUCCCUGGGAACUAUGAAUAUGUUACCUUCCAUGACAAAAGGACUCUGCAGAUGUGAGUAAAUUGAGGAUUUGGGGAAAGGGACUCUCCAGCUUUUGGGAGCAGACUGGAAAAUGGAAAAGGCAAGAAAAUGGAUCCUCCCUUGGAGCCUCUGGAAAGGAAGAGAUGGUAUCCUGAUGAUACCUUAAUUUUAGCCCACUGACAUCCAUUUAGGACUUCUGAACUACAGAACUGUGAAAUAAUAAAUGUGUAUUGUUGGCCAGGCACAGUGGCUCACAUCUGUAAUCCCAGCACUUUGGGAGGCCGAGGCGGGUGUAUCACCUGAGGUCAGGAGUUCAAGAGCAGCCUGGCCAACAUGGUGAAACCCCAUCUCUACUAAAAAUACAAAAUUAGCUGGGCGUGGUGGCACAUGCUUGUAAUCCCAGCUACUCGGGAGCUGAGGCAGGAGAAUCGGUUGAAUCCAGGAGGUAAAGAUGCUGUGAGCCGAGAUUGCGCCAUUGCACUUAAGCCUAGAGACAAGAGUGAAACUCCAUCUCAAAAAAUAAAAUAAAAAAAUAAAAAUAAAUGUGUAUUGUUUUAAGCCCAAAAAAAAAAAAAAAAAAGAAAAA
rnacentral:lncRNA from 1 species